rnacentral:tRNA from 2 species
UCCUGGUUAGCCCAAUUGGUAGAGAGCUCCACUCGAAAUGGAGAGGUUCUUUGUUCUAUUCCAGAACCAGGCG